GUUGAGACACCAGUUCCCAUAUGAUCACUGAAGUUAAGCAAUGUCAAGCCUGGUCAAUAUGUGGAUGGAUGAUCGCUUCGGAAUGCCAGGUGCUGU